GAGCUUCUCCUCCUCUGGGCACGGCGCGGGGAGGAGCGGGGCGCUGGAGCUGCCCGCGGCUGUGGCGCCGUGUCCUGCAGCGGGCGGUCCCCAGCGGGGCUGGCGGGACCCGCGGGCUGCGGUUCCAGAGCCGAGCGGCUCCUCCUGGCUCGGUGGCCGUGGGAAGAGACGGGAGACUCAGCUUUUGGAUCAGAGUGGCCCUGUAGGCCUGUGUUUGUACCGGGAAGGGCCGCUGGGCUGAAGCGGGAGCUGAGCUCCUGUGCCCGAGGGCGGGCAGCCCGGGCGGUGUAGGCGUUCCUCCCGGAGCGAGCGCUGCCUUCCCUGCGGGCCUGCCCUUCAGCCCCGUCAGCCGCCGCCGCAACUGGCGCGGCUGAGUCAAAACUGGGAAGCUUUGUUCAGUAUGUGGAAGGCAAGACCAGGUUGUUUGGAUUUUUCUGUGUUGAAGUAGGACUUACAGGUCUGAGAGAUGUUUCUUCCCUUAGGAUGUUGUGAUCCCAUUUCCUAAAAUUUCCCAUAUCGUGUCUCUUUUUUUCCCCGUCCGCCUCCCAAGACACACAGCACUGCAACACGUGAUAUUUGAAAGAUGAUAUGUGUGUGUAUUUCAGGUUAUAAAUGAGAUUAUUUUAGGUUACAAGACCAAUAAAGUGCAAGCAUGUAUAUUUUAAAGACUCAAUAGAGGGGGAACUUAGGCUGGAAAUACAUUAUGAUAAGCUAAGAUAGAUGGGUGGUCUCUCCCACCUCCUUUUUAAAAUUCCCUCUACUAGGGAAGUGGAGUAGGAUUUUGUAACAAAAGGAUCAUCUUGGCCAUGUCUGACACUCAAAUUCAAAAACCAUGUUGAAACAAUUAAGUUGUAAUUCUUGUGAUUUCACUAGAAACCCCCUCACUGCAAGUCACCUAUAGCCCCAUUGGCUGAGAACUUUCAAAAGAUUCAGUAAUCCCCACUCAGUUUUGCUACCUUUGAAUGAUGUUGGUACAAAAGCACAUGUCUGUGAGUUAUAUAGGAAUCUGGACCUAAAGCAUGAGCUUUGAUAAGUAUUAAUUUUAUUAGUGUCAGACUUUUAUAUCAGUGCAAAGUUGUGUGCAGUUUUUUGUAGUAAAUUUUCAGAUACAGGUAGUGAUAGAACCACUUUUGUAGGUAGUGAAGUGUGGAAGAGAGUUACAGUUUCCUUUAACUUCAGUAGUUAUAUCGAAAAUUCUUGCUUAUACCUAACCUGAAGUUCUUAUGGGUUAAUCCCGGAGAUAUGGGGAAUAUUCCUCUCUUUGUACACUGAGCUCUCUAGUUUUGAGAAACAAUCUGUGCUGAAGUGAUUGUAGGUUAUCCUUUCUUGGAAAUAAAGCCUGGUUUAAGUUUUUGAGGUUGAGGAUGGCAUGUGGAUCUGUCCAGAUGCAAAUACAAAUUUAUAUCUCUCUCACUUUGUUAUGCUUUCUUUUAGGAAAUGCUGCACUUUUAAGUACCAUAACUUUUGCAGCAAUGUUGCUGUACAGUUUUGUCAGAUGUAAUCACUUUGGAAAUGCUUUCAAAAGUAACACACAAUGCCAUGGAGAAAUCUCGUAUGCUUUUAGAAAUAACCCUGGAACUGGACUGCAAGGAAAACGUUACUUGACUCAGUGAUCAACGUGUAAUUUUCUGCACCAGAAGACAAGAAGGAAACAGCAUUUGUUAAGAAAUAAGCCAUGCCUGCUGCAGCUGAUGUAACUGUGGGGGACCUGCCUGUGAGACAUACAGGUCUAACUCCAGCUGGAACUGAAGGAUUACAAGAAUCAUCAACUGCACAGAAUAUAAAAGCUCAACAAGCUAGGUAACAAAUCAGCCAAGAAGAACUGGAGGACAGGUUUCUUCAUGUACAUGAUGAUCACAUCUUACUCAAGCAGCAUGCAAAUGAGCAAGAGGAGAAAGCUAAAAGCAUUCUUUGCCAGAGCCCUUUUAACUAGAAAUUUGGAAUGAAUUUGCAGUGGAAGAGCAUUGAAAAAACUCCAUGUAAACAAAAAACCUGCUUACAGGCAAG